rnacentral:rRNA from 1 species
GGCUGAGUUGUAAUUUGCAGAGGAUGCUAUGGAUCAUGUUUGGUUUGAAGUCCUUAGGAAAAAGGCGCCAUGGAGGGUGACAGCCCUGUACUUUCCAAAUCAUUUUCCAUGUAUAGCUCCUUCAAAGAGUCGAGUUGUUUGGGAAUGCAGCUCUAAGUGGGAGGUAAAUUUCUUCCAAAGCUAAAUACCGGCUAGAGACCGAUAGCGCACAAGUAGAGUGAUCGAAAGAUGAAAAGCACUUUGAAAAGAGAGUUAAAAAGUACGUGAAAUUGUUGAAAGGGAAGCUUAUGUCGUCAGAAAUGAUGUUGAUGUUCAGCCUUUGGGUGUAUUCAUCAGUGUCAGGCUAGCAUCAAUUUGGACAGUCGGAUAAAAGUUUCGGGAAUGUAGCUCUUCGGAGUGUUAUAGCCCGAUUCAGCAUGUGACUUGUCUGGAUUGAGGUCCGCUAAGAGGAUG